GCGAGGACCAUCUCGCAAGGCUAAAUACUAACCAGUGACCGAUAGUGAACCAGUACCGUGAGGGAAAGGUGAAAAGAACCCCGGGAGGGGAGUGAAAGAGAACCUGAAACCGUGUGCCUACAAGUAGUCAGAGCCCGUUAACGGGUAAUGGCGUGCCUUUUGUAGAAUGAACCGGCGAGUUGCGUUAGUCAGCAAGGUUAAGUCAGAAAAGACGGAGCCGUAGCGAAAGCGAGUCUGAAGAGGGCGAGCAGUUGGCU
rnacentral:rRNA from 1 species